rnacentral:rRNA from 1 species
GGUGACUGCGGAAGGAUCAUUACCGAGUGUAGGGUUCCUAGC